rnacentral:rRNA from 1 species
GACGAACGCUGGCGGCGUGCUUAACACAUGCAAGUCGAACGGAAAGGCCCCCUUGUGGGGUACUCGAGUGGCGAACGGGUGAGUAACACGUGAGUAACCUACCCUUGACUUUGGGAUAACUUCAGGAAACUGGGGCUAAUACCGGAUAGGAGCUCCUGCUGCAUGGUGGGGGUUGGAAAGUUUCGGCGGUUGGGGAUGGACUCGCGGCUUAUCAGCUUGUUGGUGGGGUAGUGGCUCACCAAGGCUUUGACGGGUAGCCGGCCUGAGAGGGUGACCGGCCACAUUGGGACUGAGAUACGGCCCAGACUCCUACGGGAGGCAGCAGUGGGGAAUAUUGCACAAUGGGCGGAAGCCUGAUGCAGCAACGCCGCGUGCGGGAUGACGGCCUUCGGGUUGUAAACCGCUUUCGCCUGUGACGAAGCGUGAGUGACGGUAAUGGGUAAAGAAGCACCGGCUAGCUACGUG